rnacentral:rRNA from 1 species
UGGGGAAUAUUGGACAAUGGGCGAAAGCCUGAUCCAGCCAUGCCGCGUGUGUGAAGAAGGUCUUCGGAUUGUAAAGCACUUUAAGUUGGGAGGAAGGGCAGUAAGCGAAUACCUUGCUGUUUUGACGUUACCGACAGAAUAAGCACCGGCUAACUCUGUGCCAGCAGCCGCGGUAAUACAGAGGGUGCAAGCGUUAAUCGGAAUUACUGGGCGUAAAGCGCGCGUAGGUGGUUCGUUAAGUUGAAUGUGAAAGCCCCGGGCUCAACCUGGGAACUGCAUCCAAAACUGGCGAGCUAGAGUAGGGUAGAGGGUGGUGGAAUUUCCUGUGUAGCGGUGAAAUGCGUAGAUAUAGGAAGGAACACCAGUGGCGAAGGCGACCACCUGAGCUCAUACUGACACUGAGGUGCGAAAGCGUGGGGAGCAAACAGG